AUGAACGCUGGCGGCGUGCCUAAUACAUGCAAGUCGAGCGAACAGAUGAGGAGCUUGCUCCUCUGACGUUAGCGGCGGACGGGUGAGUAACACGUGGAUAACCUACCUAUAAGACUGGGAUAACUUCGGGAAACCGGAGCUAAUACCGGAUAAUAUAUUGAACCGCAUGGUUCAAUAGUGAAAGACGGUUUUGCUGUCACUUAUAGAUGGAUCCGCGCCGCAUUAGCUAGUUGGUAAGGUAACGGCUUACCAAGGCGACGAUGCGUAGCCGACCUGAGAGGGUGAUCGGCCACACUGGAACUGAGACACGGUCCAGACUCCUACGGGAGGCAGCAGUAGGGAAUCUUCCGCAAUGGGCGAAAGCCUGACGGAGCAACGCCGCAUGAGUGAUGAAGGUCUUCGGAUCGUAAAACUCUGUUAUUAGGGAAGAACAAAUGUGUAAGUAACUAUGCACGUCUUGACGGUACCUAAUCAGAAAGCCACGGCUAACUACGUG
rnacentral:rRNA from 1 species